UGCCUCAGUAACGGCGAGUGAAGCGGCAAGAGCUCAAAUUUGAAAUCUGGUCCUUUCAGGGCCCGAGUUGUAAUUUGCAGAGGAUGCUUUGGGUGCGGCCGCGGCGUAAGUGCCCUGGAACGGGCUGUCGCAGAGGGUGAGAAUCCCGUCUUGAGUCGCCGGUUCGCGCCCGUGUAAAGCUCCUUCGACGAGUCGAGUUGUUUGGGAAUGCAGCUCUAAAUGGGUGGUAAAUUUCAUCUAAAGCUAAAUAUUGGCUGGAGACCGAUAGCGCACAAGUAGAGUGAUCGAAAGGUUAAAAGCACCUUGAAAAGGGAGUUAAAUAGCACGUGAAAUUGUUGAAAGGGAAGCGCUUGCAACCAGACUCGGCCGCAGAGGCUCAACGGGCACGUGUGCCUGUGCACUCCUCUGUGGUCGGGCCAGCAUCAGUUCUGGCGACCGGUCAAAGGCCCCUGGAAUGUGUCGUCCUCCGGGACGUCUUAUAGCCAGGGGUGCAAUGCGGCCAGCCGGGACUGAGGAACGCGCUUCGGCACGGAUGCUGGCAUAAUGGUUGUAAGCGGCCCGUCUUGAAACACGGACCAAGGAGUCUAACAUCCACGCGAGUGUUCGGGUGUCAAACCCGUGCGCGCAGUGAAAGCGAACGGAGGUGGGAUCCCCGCAAGGGGCGCACCAUCGACCGAUCCUGAAGUCUUCGGAUGGAUUUGAGUAAGAGCGUGGCUGUUGGGACCCGAAAGAUGGUGAACUAUGCCUGAAUAGGGCGAAGCCAGAGGAAACUCUGGUGGAGGCUCGCAGCGGUUCUGACGUGCAAAUCGAUCGUCAAAUUUGGGUAUAGGGGCGAAAGACUAAUCGAACCAUCUAGUAGCUGGUUCCUGCCGAAGUUUCCCUCAGGAUAGCAGUAACGUUUUCAGUUUUAUGAGGUAAAGCGAAUGAUUA
rnacentral:rRNA from 2 species